rnacentral:tRNA from 1 species
GGAUCUGUGGUGUAAUGGUAGCACGAUGGUCUCCAAAACCAACAAUGCAGGUUCGAUUCCUGCCAGAUCUG